UUGGGCGGCGGCGGUGCGUGCGAGCUUGGGCGACGCCGCGGUGGCCGUACGUCUUGUCCGUGGCGGCUCCUCCUUCUCGCUGGGAUUUAGGUGCGUGGAUUCGGGAUUUGACUGGCUGGACACAAAUUCGAUUCUGAUUGAGGUUUCUCUUUUAAAUCUCAACCCUGGCAUGCAAUUUUUUUUCACGAUUUACAUGACUGUUAGUUGUUUUGAAAUCCUUUUUGCUGGUCCAAAAGGUACGCAACAAGAUAGAACCUUCUUACCAUGAAAAUAGUCACUACUUCUGAUAGUUAAUGGAACUGGUGUUUGGGGCUGCGGCUGCUAUUAGGCUCUGCGGUGUGAUGCAGUGCCAGCUUGCCAUGAGGCUGCCCUUGUUGGCGCUUCUUUGUCGAUGCCCGUGGCCUCAGCCUCUGCGGUGGCUGGUCCAACUGCCUCCCAACACGUUGUUGGUGCUCUCUUUCUUGGCUUCUGUAUUGUUUUUCCCAUGGUUGGUUUUGGACUGCGCGGAAAAAUGAAUUCCUCAGGAGAUUGGGAGGAUCUCGGUUGAUCUCGCCGUGAAUUCCAAGUUAAGUUACCCCUUCCUCUCUUUGCUUGAAUCGACUAGGAUCUUGCUGGAUCUCACUCUUGAUACAGUCUUUCGAGGCAUCCAUUUAGUUAGACUGAAUCCAACCCUCCUCUAUAGUUCUUCAAUUGUGAUAGGAUCAUGAUUCUUAGUAUUCUCGGUAAAUGUCUGUUAUGUCGUUGUACUGUAAGGAUCCUGAGUUCUAAUGAACGAUUAAGAGAGAACAUUUGUUGUAAUAACAAUUAAGAGAGGACAUGGAUAUUGCUUGCUUUUUGCAUCUAGGUUCAAUUGUUGAUGGGACCAUUCUCUUGGUUAUGAGUUGGUGUACUGCUGUUUAGCUUCACCUUAACCAUGUAUUGACACUGGAAUACUAACUGCUGCUUUUCGACCCAACUUCUUCUUUUUUAAUCUUUCGAGAUUCAACCGUGUAAUCUGCACUACAUAUGAACCAAAUACUUUACUGAAUAUUACAUGCACAAACUUCCUUGCAUCCCUUGAGAUUUCGGUUCUAUCUAAUUUUGAUAUAGCUAUCUCUCAAAUUCAUUGCUGCUCAAUCUUCUAAGCCUGGAGAUAAUGAAAGUUUAAUAUUACUAUCAUGGAAAUGUUGUUAUUAAUUGGCAGUCUUGGAUUUAUGUUGGAAUAGUGUUGGAUGGUUGUGCUGGUGCUGAGUUUUGGUGCCGAACUCAAACUUUUUCUGCUCAAGCGAGCUUUUUUUGCCGUUUGCCUAUAUGGGUGUGCUCAGGUUUUUAAAUCGGAUGCACGUUAUUGAGCUCUUGAACGAGUUGUUGGUUUCAGUUGCAUUGUAGGUUUUCUUCGGUAUAUCAUUUCUCCAUUUUGUGGUAUGUCUUAUUUAGUUGAGAACCAUUGUACUGCAGGCACAAAGACACAAGCCACAAAACAAACAAAACGUUGGCAGCAAAAAAACAGAGCAGCAAAGCGGUAUGUUAACAUAGGGAUAUGCUGAUAUUAUUUGGUAACAAUAUCUGGUAUGUUAUUUCACUGCAUGUAUGUUCUCUCUUUAGUUCAAGGAACCAUCUUGUUUGCUGUUGUGAGUUCGGUUUGUUGACUUGUGUUGUAUUUUCUUCCUCCUUUUCUUAGUAUGCUUCACAUAGGACUUGAAAAGCCAAUUCCUACUCCCUGUUACUGCCAAUUUUUAGAUUUUCUAAAAUAUAUGGAUGGAAAUCAAAGCUUCUGAUCUUGUCCUACUAGAAUUAUCUAAAAUUGAAACCAUAGGAAGUUGGUGCUUCUACAGAUAAUUAUUGCACAAUAUUAACUGAAAAUAUAUUUUCUCUGUAUGUGAAGUGUAAAUUUCUAGGUAUGUAUUUUACCUCCUAACCUUUCUUUAGAGAUUAUGUAUAAAAUGCAUGUAAUCAACUCCCAUCUUACAAACAAUUCCCCUGUUAUAGGUAGAUCCUAGACUGGUAAUUUGAUCUUUUGGAGGCUGGUAAAUGGUUCAAGUGGAGGAACCUCACUCAUUCUUGAGCCUCACUCUAUCAUUGUCUUACCAGACAUAUUUAGAUGGAAAUAACAUCCACAAAAGGAGGAAUCUCUCACCAAGGCAUAGAGGGAUUGGUCAGAAGUUCAGAGCCUAAAAUCCUCCCGAUUGCCUUGCUGAUUGUACUGAUAGCUUUAAGAGAAGAAUAAGUAAUGUUCUUUCUUAGCUUUUAGUUAUCUGUCAUCGUCUAAUUAUAAGUAGUUAUUGACAGUGCUCCUGAAGUUUUUGUUAUAAUCAAUAACUGAGCAAGAGACCAUUAAGGGGCUUUGAUGUGGACUAUGUAUUAUUGGUAAAUGUGAUUUUAGUUGGAUAAAUCAGCCUGAUACUUCUGCCGCUUUUACGCAAUUUUACAUGAAGAUGAUGCAUUAUUAUGA